GGAGAGGGAGCCUGAGAAACGGCUACCACAUCCAAGGAAGGCAGCAGGCGCGCAAAUUGUGCAAUCCUGACACGGGGAGGUAGUGACAAUAAAUAACAAUACCGGGCGCGUUAGUAAAUAACAAUACCGGGCGCGUUAGUGAAUAACAAUACCGGGCGCGUUAGUGUCUGGCAAUACCGGGCGCGUUAGUGUCUGGUAAUUGGGCGCGUUAGUGUCUGGUAAUUGGAAUGAGGUGUCUGGUAAUUGGAAUGAGUACAAU
rnacentral:ncRNA from 1 species